AUUUCAAAGAUAAAUAUAAGUUCAGGUAUAAAUAAAAACUAGACUAUUUUUGCGUUCGGAUGAAAAUUGGAUUGUUUCUGGGAAUAAAAAAUAUAGCGUUUGGAUAGAUAAGAUAGAACAAGAGGAGUAAUGGGUUGUUAUAAAUAAAAAAUAACAAUAUUACCCCUCUUAUUAAAUUUAAAUUUGAAUUUUUAAAUUUCAUAUUUGAAUUUUAAAAUUUAAAAUCUUAAAUUGUAAAUUUCAAAUUUUAGAAUUUUAAUUUUAAAAUUUAAAUUUAAGAUCAAAUUUAAAUUUAAAAAAUAUAAAAUAACAAAAUUUAAAUUUUAAAAUUUUAAAAUUUAAAAAAUUGUAAAUUGUAAAUUUAAAAUUAGAAAUUAUACAUUUUGUAAUAAAUUUAUAAUUCUCUCUCUCUCUCUCUCUCUCUUGGAGUUCCCACCUGUAACGACCCAGCCCACUAGCAAUAAUAACUCGUUGGGCCCAACCACCGGCCCAAAAUGUUUAAGCCCAGUUAUUAUUACAAGUGUCUAAGUCUCUUAUAAACCCAAUGACAAUCCCAUUCCCAUCCGACUCCC
rnacentral:lncRNA from 1 species